UACGGGGGGUGCGAGCGUUGUCCGGAAUCACUGGGCGUAAAGGGCGCGUAGGUGGCGUGAUAAGGGUGUGGUGAAAGCCCGGGGCUCAACCCCGGGUCUGCCAUGCCGACUGUCAGGCUGGAGUACUGUAGGGGCAGGCGGAAUUCCCAGUGUAGCGGUGAAAUGCGUAGAUAUUGGGAGGAACACCAGUGGCGAAGGCGGCUCGCUGGACCGGUUCUGACGCUGAUGCGCGAAAGCGUGGGGAGCAAACGGG
rnacentral:rRNA from 1 species